UACGGGGGGGGCAAGCGUUGUUCGGAAUUACUGGGCGUAAAGGGCUCGUAGGCGGCCAACUAAGUCACACGUGAAAUCCCUCGGCUCAACCGGGGAACUGCGUGUGAGACUGGAUGGCUUGAGUUUGGGAGAGGAAUGCGGAAUUCCAGGUGUAGCGGUGAAAUGCGUAGAUAUCUGGAGGAACACCGGUGGCGAAGGCGGCAUUCUGGACCAACACUGACGCUGAGAUACGAAAGCUAGGGGAGCGAACGGGG
rnacentral:rRNA from 1 species